GUGUUCUGUGUGAAAGAAUUCUUUCAUUGCUCGCAUCGAAAAUAAACCAUAGAUAAGCGGGUAAACAAGUUUCCCUGGUGUUGGCGCAGUAUUAGCGCACCCCAACUUCGGU
rnacentral:sRNA from 1 species